rnacentral:siRNA from 1 species
UGGCACGGGAGACCUUCCUA